UACGUAGGAUCCAAGCGUUGUCCGGAUUUACUGGGUGUAAAGGGUGCGCAGGCGGACUUGUUAGUCAGAGGUGAAAUCUCACGGCUCAACCGUGAAACUGCCUUUGAUACUGCAGGUCUUGGAUUGGGGAGAGAGUUGUGGAAUUCCGAGUGUAGCAGUGAAAUGUGUAGAUAUUCGGAAGAACACCAGUGGCGAAGGCAGCAACUUGGCCCUAUAUUGACGCUCAGGCACGAAAGCAUGGGGAUCAAACAGG
rnacentral:rRNA from 1 species